rnacentral:rRNA from 1 species
GACGAACGCUGGCGGCGUGCUUAACACAUGCAAGUCGAACGGGUCUGCCCUGUUUUUUGCGGGGUGGGUCAGUGGCGAACGGGUGAGUAACACGUGAGUAACCUGCCCCUCACUUCUGGAUAACCGCUUGAAAGGGUGGCUAAUACGGGGUGUUCUGGCUGUGCCGCAUGGUGUGGCUGGGAAAGAUUCACUUUUGUGGUGUUUUGGUGGGGGAUGGGCUCGCGGCCUAUCAGCUUGUUGGUGGGGUGAUGGCCUGCCAAGGCUUUGACGGGUAGCCGGCCUGAGAGGGUGGGCGGUCACACUGGGACUGAGAUACGGCCCAGACUCCUGCGGGAGGCAGCAGUGGGGGGUAUUGCACAAUGGGCGGAAGCCUGAUGCAGCGACGUCACGUGAGGGAUGGAGGCCUUCGGGUUGUGAACCUCUUUCGCCGGUGAAGAAGGUCCUGCUCUUUGUGGUGGGGUUGACGGUAGCCGGGUUAUGAAGCGCCGGCUAACUACGUG